rnacentral:rRNA from 1 species
GGACGAACGCUGGCGGCGUGCUUAACACAUGCAAGUCGAACGAUGAAGCGGUGCUUGCACCGUGGAUUAGUGGCGAACGGGUGAGUAAUACGUGAGUGACCUACCUUUGACUCUGGGAUAAGCCUGGGAAACUGGGUCUAAUACCGGAUACGACCAAUCUCUGCAUGGGGUGUUGGUGGAAAGCGUUAUGGAGUGGUUUUAGAUGGGCUCACGGCCUAUCAGCUUGUUGGUGAGGUAAUGGCUUACCAAGGCGACGACGGGUAGCCGGCCUGAGAGGGUGACCGGCCACACUGGGACUGAGACACGGCCCAGACUCCUACGGGAGGCAGCAGUGGGGAAUAUUGCACAAUGGGCGCAAGCCUGAUGCAGCGACGCCGCGUGAGGGAUGACGGCCUUCGGGUUGUAAACCUCUGUUAGCAUCGAAGAAGCGAAAGUGACGGUAGGUGCAGAGAAAGCGCCGGCUAACUACGUG